rnacentral:rRNA from 1 species
UACGUAGGGGGCAAGCGUUGUCCGGAUUUAUUGGGCGUAAAGAGCGUGUAGGCGGCCAGAUAGGUCUGGUGUGAAAACUUGAGGCUCAACCUCAAGAGGUCACUGGAAACCAUUUGGCUAGAGUCCGGAAGAGGAGAGUGAAAUUCCUGGUGUAGCGGUGAAAUGCGCAGAUAUCAGGAAGAACACCUAUGGCGAAGGCAGCUCUCUGGGACGGUACUGACGCUGAGACGCGAAAGCGUGGGGAGCAAACAGG